GUGUCAGCAGCCGCGGUAAGACGAACCGUGCGAACGUUGUUCGGAAUCACUGGGCUUAAAGGGCGCGUAGGUGGGCUGUCAAGUCCGGGGUGAAAGCCCCCCGCUCAACGGGGGAAUGGCCUUGGAUACUGGCGGUCUUGAGGAAGGUAGGGGCGUGUGGAACUUCCGGUGGAGCGGUGAAAUGCGUAGAUAUCGGAAGGAACGCCGGUGGCGAAAGCGACACGCUGGACCUUUUCUGACACUGAGGCGCGAAAGCCAGGGGAGCGAACGGGAUUAGAUACCCCCGUAGUCC
rnacentral:rRNA from 1 species